AGAGCGAACGCUGGCGGCAGGCCUAACACAUGCAAGUCGAGCGCCCCGCAAGGGGAACGGCAGACGGGAGAGUAACACGUGGGAACGUACCCUUUGGUUCGGAACAACACAGGGAAACUUGUGCUAAUACCGGAUAAGCCCUUACGGGGAAAGAUUUAUCGCCAAAGGAUCGGCCCGCGUCUGAUUAGCUUGUUGGUGAGGUAACGGCUCACCAAGGCUACGAUCAGUAGCUGGUCUGAGAGGAUGAUCAGCCUCACUGGGACUGAGACACGGCCCAGACUCCUACGGGAGGCAGCAGUAGGGAAUUUUCCACAAUGGGCGAAAGCCUGAUGGAGCAACGCCGCGUGCAGGAUGAAUGCCUUCGGGUUGUAAACUGCUUUUAUAUGUGACGAAUAUGACGGUAGCAUAUGAAUAAGGAUCGGCUAACUCCGUGCCAGCAGCCGC
rnacentral:rRNA from 1 species